ACAAUGCGGGACUAUCAGUCUUGCAAUUGGAUUGAGAACAAUGUACAACUCUUAUCGAUAAGCCAUUGGAGGGCAAGUCUGGUGCCAGCAGCCGCGGUAAUUCCAGCUCCAAUAGCGUAUAUUAACGUUGUUGCAGUUAAAAAGCUCGUAGUUGAAGUGUGGGUGAUCGCUGUUGUGAGACUUCGGUCUCUCGACAGUAAGUCACCCCCUUCCAGUAUCCAGUAGUGGGUAUUCAGUUACUUACUAUUGUGUGUUGGUCGUUUACUGUGAGAAAAUUAGAGUGUUCAAAGCAGGCGUUUGCUUGAAUAGAUUAGCAUGGAAUAAUAAUUGAAGGCUUUCGUGUUCGAUUUGAUUGGUUUGUUCAUGGAAGCAAGGUUAAAAGGAACAGUUGGGGGUAUUCAUAUUCACU
rnacentral:rRNA from 1 species